UACGAAGGGGGCUAGCGUUGUUCGGAAUUACUGGGCGUAAAGCGUAUGUAGGCGGAUCGUUAAGUCGGGGGUGAAAUCCCGAGGCUCAACCUCGGAACUGCCUUCGAUACUGGCGAUCUUCGAGUCCGGGAGAGGUGAGUGGAACUCCGAGUGUAGAGGUGAAAUUCGUAGAUAUUCGCAAGAACACCAGUGGCGCAAGCGGCUGACUGGCCGAGACCUGACGCUGAGACGCGACGGCGUGGGGAGCAAACCGG
rnacentral:rRNA from 1 species